GGACCCGGCCUGCGUUUGCGGUGGCCGUGCUGUGGGAGCCCCUCUCAGCGGGCGCUCGUCGGUGAAGCUCCCGGGAAGGCAGCAAGUGAAGUUAAGAGAUGAGUUUGUUACUGGCUUUGGGAAUCUUCAGUCUGGACUCUGCCAUGCUGUUACCUUGCAAGCAGGAAGACGUCACGUGAAUUCUGGAGCUACAGAAGUGCUGUGACAUCAGAUGACCUUCUCCACUGUCUUCGAGCCUUGUGUAUGCACAUACAGCCAACAGUAGACUCCAUCCGCUUCUAGAAGUAUGGGUGUUUAAGAAGCUUGAAAACAGCAGCCUGAAAUGUGGAGUUCUAAUGCACUUGGAAAUGCUUUCAUGGCCCUUCCUGCUCCUCAGAAAUACUGCUGGAUUCAAAAGUAAGGCAGGGGAGUAGCUGUUUAGUGAAAAUGUGUUGAAUAAUCCUUGAAUGAAGUUCAAGUGAGAGUGUCACUCCAGAAAGGGAAGUGGCCUUGUGGAUACUCUUAGGACUUAAUAUGAAUAUUUAAGUGUACCAAAUAAAUUGAUGAAAACUGAAUAAAUCAAGGGUCAAAACAUGUAGGAAUACUUGCAUUAUCUUGUCUAAAUGAGAGUGUUUACAACGUUAGUAGCAGCAGCUUUUCUGCUUAUCUCCGAGGCAAUGUGUGUAUGAAUAAAAAUCUUGGAUUUCUGUUUUCAGUGA